CUUUAAGGGUCCUGAAGGAACGUUGAAGACUACGACGUUGAUAGGUCGGGUGUGUAAGCGCAGCGAUGCGUUGAGCUAACCGAUACUAAUGAACCGUGAGGCUUAACCUU
rnacentral:rRNA from 2 species